AUAAGCCCAUGUCUUAUCUUUUUAGUAUUACUUAUCCCAAAUACCUCCGUGAUUGAUAGGAUCGGGACGAGUAAUGGCACGCAAUAGGUAAACGAGACCAUUCUGCACUUUAAUACCUUAACAUGGUGGGAAGGGUAGAUAUGGAUAUGAUGACCGAUGCGCUAAUACCACGUGUAGCCCCUUUCUGAUGAGUGAUUACCGAGUAUUGCAUUGACGUGAUCCAUAUUAUUUAUAAACCUAGGACCCUCCUCCAUUUACUCUUUUAUUCCUUAAACCUUGAAAAAUAUUUCUUCUAAAUCAACUCUCUUCUUUGCUUUCCAACUUUGUUUAUUUCUGAC
rnacentral:lncRNA from 1 species